GCCAGUCUGACCUCUGGCACUCUGGACCACAGUAAUAGACAUUUCUGCACCUGAAAAUGAGCCCCCAAAACAGAUGUUCCUAUACCUCGAAGGUGACUGGGUUAUGUCAGGAGAAGGAUCAUCUGAUUCCAGACCAUGGUUGACCAUCAAGAAGUGAAACCACGGAAAGCGAGCUGCAGGUAUGGAGAAAAAUUAUCUUUGAUCUGACAUAAGUCAAGAGUCUUAAAUCCUGG